GGGUUGUGAGGUUAAGCGACUAAGCGUACACGGUGGAUGCCCUGGCAGUCAGAGGCGAUGAAGGACGUGCUAAUCUGCGAUAAGCGUCGGUAAGGUGAUAUGAACCGUUAUAACCGGCGAUUUCCGAAUGGGGAAACCCAGUGUGUUUCGACACACUAUCAUUAACUGAAUCCAUAGGUUAAUGAGGCGAACCGGGGGAACUGAAACAUCUAAGUACCCCGAGGAAAAGAAAUCAACCGAGAUUCCCCCAGUAGCGGCGAGCGAACGGGGAGGAGCCCAGAGCCUGAAUCAGUGUGUGUGUUAGUGGAAGCGUCUGGAAAGGCGCGCGAUACAGGGUGACAGCCCCGUACACAAAAAUACACAUAUUGUGAGCU
rnacentral:rRNA from 2 species